CACCAUGCUAUACAUUACAUCCCUAUGACUUAUUUAUUUCAUAACUAGAAGUUUGUACCUUUUGACUCCCUUUGCCCAUUUCUCCUACCCACCACUCCCUGCCUCUGGCAACCACCAAUCUGUUCUUUGUUUCUAUGAGCUUGGUGUUUUUUUGUUUUGUUUUAUUUUUUUUAGAUUCCACAUAUAAGUGAGAUUAUAUGGUAUUUGUAUUUCUCUGUCUGACUUAUUUCACUUAGCAUAAUGCCUUCAGGAUCCAUCAAUGUUGUUGCAGAUUGCAAGAUUUCAUUCUUUUUUAUGGCUGAAUAAUAUUCCAUUGUAAAUAUAUACCUCAUUUCUUUAUCCAUUCAUCCAUCAAUGGACACUUAGGUUGUUCCUGUAUCUUGGCUGUUGUAAAUAUUCUGCAAUGAACAUGGGAGUGCAGAUAUCUAGAGUUAGUGUUUUCAUUGUCUUCAGAUAAAUAUCCAGAAGUGGAAUUGCUAUAUCAUAUGGUGGUUCUAUUUUAAUUUUUUGAGGAACUCCAUACUGUUUUCCAUAGUGGCUGAACCAAUUUACAUUCCCGCCAACAGUACACGAGUGUUCCCACUUCUCCACAUCCUUGCCAACACUUGUUAUUUCUUGUCUUUUGUAUAAUAGCCAUUGUAAUAGGUAUGAGGCGAUAUCUCAUUGUGGGGUUUUUUGUGUGUGUGAGGAAGAUUGGCCCUGAGCUAACAUCCAUUGCUAAUCUUCCUCUUUUUGCUUGAGGAAGAUUGUCGCUGAGCUAACAUCUGUGCCAGUCUUCCUCUAUUUUGUAUGUGGGAUGCUGCCACAGCAUGGGUUAAUGAGCAGUGUGUAGGUCUGUGCCCAGGAUCCAAACCCACAAACCCCAGGCCUCCAAAGCAGAGCGCACACACAUAACCACUAUGCCACCAGGCCGGCCCCUCAUUGUGGUUUGAUUUGCAUUUCCCUAAUGAUUAGUGAUGUUGAGCAUCUUUUCUCAAUUUGAGCAUCUUUCCUCUCUGUACCUGCUGCCCAUCUGUAUGUCUUCUUUGGAAAAAUGCCUAUUCAAAUCCUCUGCUCACUUUGUUUUAUUGGAUUAUUUGCUUUUUCACUAUUUAGUUGUAUGAGUCCUUUAUAUAUUUUGGAUAUUAACCCCUUACCAGAUAUAUGAUUGCAGAUAUUUUCUUCCGUUCAUGAAGUUGCCUUUUCAUUUUGUUAAUUGUUCCAUUUGCUAUGCAGAAGCUUUUUGUGUUUUAAAUUUCUUGUUGCUGUACUUACAGGAAAUUUUGCAUCUUAUACUUACGCAUUUACUAAAGUGAAGACCAAAUCUCAUAAAGCUUCACCAAACAAGAAAAGAUAAAAUAUACAGAUAUCCUACUUUUGUCACUCAAGAAGUGAAGACUUAUCAUUUUAUGUUUAUUUUCCUUUCGGAGUUUUCUUGACAGGCUGUGGAAUCUCAGGGAUUACUAUUAAAGAGCCAGUUUUUUAAAUGAUGUUUCUAUCGAAGUCAAGGCAAUUGAAAGUAAGCUUAGCUCAAGGGCAGGUAAUUAACUCCGUCUCUGCAUGUCUGUACUUGAGCGUAACGGCCUCUGGACAAAUAGGUCUAUGGUUUGGCUUACUUCUGAUGAGAGUAAUGGAGAGAACCAGGAACAUGGCUCAUGGGCAUCUUGUUUCUCACUUUAUUUUCAAAGGAAAAUGUUUGGUUUUCUUUUAAGUGUAAUUGACAUAACAUUAUAUUAGUUUCAGGUGUACAACAUAACAAUUCAAUAUUAUUGCAAAGGAAAGUGUUAUCUGUAGUUAAGUAUAAGCUUAAGUUGGUAUUUACUUUUAUAUAGUUCUUCCUAUUUUUUUUUCCACUGGACUGUUGCAACAUUUUUCACCAAUUCAGCCUCAAGCACCAAUGACUUUCAAUAAUAGAUUUUCAAUAAAUAUUUGUUGAAUGGAUACAUGAGUGAAACUUGUUUUUUACAUUCAUGAGGGUGAAAGGUUUGCCUCAGUACUUUUCUGUAACUCCAAGAACUCCCUGAAAUUGCACUCCAGUGUAGCCAGUCUUAACAUGUUUCCCAUACAUCUCCCCAGUGACUGCUACAGUACAUGCUUAUUCAUUGGUAAUAUUGUCUCUGCUCUCCUGAAGGAUUCUCUUCAAUUGCAUUUACAUUUUUGAAACAUGGCCCACUUCUGUCUACCUUCUAAAAAUUUUUAACAAACAAACCUAGCUUUAAUAAGUCUAUUUAAUGAUUUGUAUAAUCAUUUCUUCAGAAGAAAGCAAACAGCGCGGGUCCUUGCAAAAGCAAGUUAAAGGCAGAUCUGAAGAAGAUGGGCGCAGGCAGGAAACAACUCAAGAACUCUUCCUUAGAAGCCUAGAGCUGUAAAAGUCAAUGAUCAAGUUAACCCAUGAUGAAACAAGUCCGUUUGACCAUUUUCAGGACUUCUUUUUGGAAAAAGACAGUUACUCUUGGGUUUUGUAGGCCUUAAUACAAGAACUUGAUUACCUCUGUUAGAGGAAAGCCACAUUGAAUGCCUUUAAAAAAAAUACCGCUUAGUAACACUUACAGACUCUUACAGACAGGUGAAAACUCUUUACAACAGGUAAUUGAAUGUUCUGGCUUUAUGUAUAGACCCGUGUAAAUGUAUAUUUAUAUAUUAUAAAUGCAGAACUUUCAAUUUACUAUUGAAAAAGUUUCCAUGUUUAAAAAAUUCUAAGCUGUAUUUGUGAUGAGGAUUUUACAGUUGCUCUAGAAAAAAGAAAAAAUACUUUUUCUUCCAAUUCUCUACCUUGAUUGAAUUAUGGCUAUUGCUCUUACUGGUCUGUAUUUGUCUAAUGCAGCCCCCGUUGUAACAUCUUUCAAAUCCCUCUGCUUAUCUACAAAUCUCAGUUAUUCGUCAAGUUUGAAUUGUUCAGAGACAAGGAUUUUCAGCAAGUAGAUCAAAAGAUAAAUGAUUUCAGGUUCUCACCAAACCCCCCUCUGGCAGCAAGUUAGCCUUCAGAGGUUUUGAAAUAAACACCUUCACUGGAGCAAGUGGGUAAUUCAUACGUGAAGCAAUAGAGUAUUGUCUCCCUUGACGGCAAUGAAUGGCAGAUUUAUACAGGUUAAUUCUUGAUGAGAAAGAAUGAAUAGGAAUUGUCUAUUUGAGAAGUUUCCACAGAUCGUCAAAACCAGACAGGGGAGACUGUUGUUCCUCUGGGUGCUUCUCUGUGCUAUUCUCUUUGUGUACUGUUGCUCAUUGUUUUGGAGCUCUCUAGGAUAAAAUAAAGCAGACAUCUCUGGAUUCUACAAUGGGAAUUCGGAGUUUUUCUUUUUCUGGCAAACAAUGUCUUGUUGCCAUGGUAUCAUUGAAUCAUAGACCUGACAUCGGAGAUGCCAGAUACAUUGAGAAAGGCUAGAAAAAGUCACCUACAAAGAAGAGGGAAGAAGUAUUUGAUCCCGAUUUUCUGUAUUUUAUUAUUAGAAAAAUAUAAUAAAUAAUAAUACAAUCUUAGAAAUACUUCAUAGAAUGCAUUUUUAAUUGUGAAGUAUUAUAACCAUACAGAAAAGUACACAAUACAAAUGUUUAGUGAACUCAGUGAAUUAGCACGAAUAGCCAUAAAUCCACUCCCUCGGUCAAGAUAUGAAGCACAUCAAGUAUUUCACAGUUACCCUGGCACUCCCUCUCAAUCAGUAUUCCUGUCUCCCCCAAAUAACCAGGGGCCUGAUUUUUAAGGCUUGUAAUUUAGUUUGCCUACUUG
ensembl:lncRNA